GACGAACGCUGGCGGCGUGCUUAACACAUGCAAGUCGAACGAAGUGGCGAACGGGUGAGUAAUACGUGAGUAACCUGCCCUCCUUUUUGGGAUAAGCCUUGGAAACGGGGUCUAAUACCGAAUAAAGGGGGAUGGGCUCGCUGCCUAUCGGCUUGUUGGGGGGGUGAUGGGCUACCAAGGCGGUGACGGGUAGCCGGCCUGAGAGGGUGACCGGGCACAUUGGGACGGGGAUACGGCCCAGACUCCUACGGGAGGGGGAAGUGGGGGAUAUUGCACAAUGGGCGAAAACCUGAUGCAGCGACGGCGCGUGGGGGAUGAAGGCUUUCGGGUUGUAAACCUCUUUCGCUAUCGAAGCGGUAGGUGGAGAAGAAGCGCCGGCUAACUACGUGCCAGCAGCCGCGGUAAUAC
rnacentral:rRNA from 1 species